AGGAUCUGAAGUGUCGUCACAUAGCCAAACCCUUCUCCAUGGAGAAGCUCCUGUACCAGAUCGCCACGGCCGAGUCCAAGCGUGACAACGGCGUCCUCCUGACCGCCAUCUCCGCCCUCCUCAAAGACCUCAGGAACAUAGAGAUGAAAACAGCGGCAGGAGCUGUUUGAGGCGGGGCUUCUCUCCUCCGCCCGCUACGGCUCCCACGACAACAACCAGGCGUUCGGCGACAGCAGGAAGAAGCCGCGCAAGUGGCCGGCGCUGGAGUCAUCAGAGCGCCGCUGCCAGAUAUGCCUGCACCUGUGUUACCUGUCCAUGGUGGUCCAGGAGAAUGAGAAUGUCGUGUUCUGUUUGGAAUGCGCCCUGCGCUACGUGGAGAAACACAAGUCCUGCAGAGGCCUAAAGAUGAUGUACGCUAUGACGAGGUAUCAGAUCAACAGCCUGGUGAGCCAGGUGUGUGGGAAGGCCGUGUGAAGAAGGGGGCCGUCCUGGAGGCGUGUAACGGGGGCAGCCCCAUCAAGCCGGGGCCCAAGCGCGGCCCCCGCAAGCGGGCCACGGUGGGAGGUGUCCCUGUCCCGCAUCUCGCCCGCCCACCUCGCCAAGAGCUCUGCCACGGCCGCCGUGUCCUGAGGGGGGGGCGGGGGCCGUCCGAGGUCCUCGUGCCCCUCCCCUUUCUUACUUUCGAGAAUCACUAGAGCCCCGUUUCUUUUUCUUUCUUUUUUCCACAAAUUGAUUUGAAGCUUUUAAUGCCCCGUUCCCCUCCCCUCCCUCCCCCCCAAACACACACAGACACGUAGACGUCCCCAAAAAUGACCUCCCCGUCCCAUUUCACACCCACCCCCCUUAGUAUGGCAACCUUGUUUUUAAGAGCAAGCUGUCUUUUUGCACUAGCGCGAAAGAAGUUCGUUUUUGUUUUGAGGUUCCUUUCAUUUGUUUUGUGGUUUGCUGGUUUUGAAGUGUCCUUAGCAUUAAGUG